rnacentral:rRNA from 1 species
UACGUAGGGGGCAAGCGUUGUCCGGAUUUAUUGGGCGUAAAGAGCGUGUAGGCGGCCAGGUAGGUCCGUUGUGAAAACUGGAGGCUUAACCUCCAGCUGUCGAUGGAAACCAUCUGGCUAGAGUCCGGAAGAGGAGAGUGGAAUUCCUGGUGUAGCGGUGAAAUGCGCAGAUAUCAGGAAGAACACCCGUGGCGAAGGCGGCUCUCUAGUACGGUACUGACGCUGAGACGCGAAAGCGUGGGGAGCGAACAGG